UAAGCUGCAAAAUUAUCCUCCUCAAAAUCUCCAAUUGGAGAUAAUUCACCUUCUUCUCUUUCAGUUCUAAAUUGUGCACCAGAUUCAUCAUUAUAUCUGUGAUUCUUGGCACCUUCCGUUUUCACCCCAUUUGUGGAUACAGUUGGUCUUGACAAAUCACCACCCUCUGCUGAAGGUACAACUUCGUUGCCUGAAGUUAAUCCAAACCCACCAUUAAGGGUACCAUUACUUGGUC
rnacentral:misc_RNA from 1 species